rnacentral:rRNA from 1 species
UAACACGUGAGCAACCUGCCUUUCAGUGGGGGACAACAUUUGGAAACGAAUGCUAAUACCGCAUAAGACCACAGUGUCGCAUGGCACAGGGGUCAAAGGAUUUAUCCGCUGAAAGAUGGGCUCGCGUCCGAUUAGCUAGAUGGUGAGGUAACGGCCCACCAUGGCGACGAUCGGUAGCCGGACUGAGAGGUUGAACGGCCACAUUGGGACUGAGACACGGCCCAGACUCCUACGGGAGGCAGCAGUGGGGAAUAUUGCACAAUGGGGGAAACCCUGAUGCAGCGACGCCGCGUGGAGGAAGAAGGUCUUCGGAUUGUAAACUCCUGUCCCAGGGGACGAUAAUGACGGUACCCUGGGAGGAAGCACCGGCUAACUACGUGCCAGCAGCCGCGGUAAAACGUAGGGUGCAAGCGUUGUCCGGAAUUACUGGGUGUAAAGGGAGCGCAGGCGGAUUGGCAAGUUGGGAGUGAAAUCUAUGGGCUCAACCCAUAAAUUGCUUUCAAAACUGUCAGUCUUGAGUGGUGUAGAGGUAGGCGGAAUUCCCGGUGUAGCGGUGGAAUGCGUAGAUAUCGGGAGGAACACCAGUGGCGAGGGCGGCCUACUGGGCACUAACUGACGCUGAGGCUCGAAAGCAUGGGUAGCAAACAGGAUUAGAUACCCUGGUAGUCCAUGCCGUAAACGAUGAUUACUAGGUGU